CACAUAUGGCAAACACAUAUUCAUAAUAUUUCCUAUGUCACAAACAUACAAACAUUUGUAUACUGUGAGGAAAAUUAUGAUUAUGAUGUGUUUUUAUCAUGCACUGAUAAUCAAAAUCGAGCCUAUUCGCCAAAAGGGCAGCGUUGAGCGUAUAAAGGAGAGAUGUCUGUUGUGGAUGUCUGUCUGUCAUGUUCUGUGUUAGAGCAGGAUGUCACUUGCACAUGUAGUGAGUGUUGUGUGUAACUGUAUCUACCAUGCAUGUUAAAAAAAAGAGCAGUAAAGGAGCAUUUCAUCAAUCUCACUCUGCUUAAGUUAUUCUGUUGUUCAUGGGAGAGAUAUAGAGAAUUUUACUCACAAUUCCAUGAUGGUAAUUCUCUUUCUUUUGCUUAAAUCAGUAAAUUAAAUUGUUAAUAUUGUUGAAUAGUGAUAUGUCAUUGCGUUGUGUGCAUCUAUCUCCAUCAUUGUAACCUUCCAUCAUGUUUUUAUUCAGGCACUCUAUCUAAAAACCUUUCCUGUGCGGUUCAUGACAUGUAAACGGUUGUAAUAAUGUACAGGAUCCGGGCCUUUUUUAACCUAAUUUAAAGGAACAGAAAUGGUGGACAAGCUUUGCACUUCUCCUCGACUGAUGAGGACUGAUCUUCCAAUCCUGUUUGUGCCAAAGUCCUUUUGGGAGCAGAACUGCAGGAUGCAAAAAAAAUGUUCAAACUUACUGAAGCAUCCUGAUGUAGUCUGUGGCCUCAGUGGUGUUUGGAUCCUGGUAUGACCAUGUGAACAGCUGGUGGAAGAAGAAAGAGACGUAUUCAAACCUCCAUUACAUGUUCGAAGAAGAUCUUGUUGAGUCCAGGAGAAGGAAAGAGUUGGACGAGAAAUCCAGUUUGAUCAUUUGAAAAGGAACAACAUGGUCAAUCUUUCAACAUACCCAGGGAUGGAUUUCACAACUUCGUCCUUCACUAGAAAAGGUAA